rnacentral:rRNA from 1 species
GAGUUUGAUCCUGGCUCAGAUUGAACGCUGGCGGCAGGCUUAACACAUGCAAGUCGAGCGGAACGAUGAUAGCUUGCUAUCAGGCGUCGAGCGGCGGACGGGUGAGUAAUACUUAGGAAUCUACCUAGUAGUGGGGGAUAGCACGGGGAAACUCGUAUUAAUACCGCAUACGACCUACGGGAGAAAGGGGGCAGUUUACUGCUCUCGCUAUUAGAUGAGCCUAAGUCGGAUUAGCUAGAUGGUGGGGUAAAGGCUUACCAUGGCGACGAUCUGUAGCUGGUCUGAGAGGAUGAUCAGCCACACCGGGACUGAGACACGGCCCGGACUCCUACGGGAGGCAGCAGUGGGGAAUAUUGGACAAUGGGGGAAACCCUGAUCCAGCCAUGCCGCGUGUGUGAAGAAGGCCUUUUGGUUGUAAAGCACUUUAAGCAGUGAAGAAGACUCCGUGGUUAAUACCCACGGACGAUGACAUUAGCUGCAGAAUAAGCACCGGCUAACUCUGUGCCAGCAGCCGCGGUAAUACAGAGGGUGCAAGCGUUAAUCGGAAUUACUGGGCGUAAAGGGAGCGUAGGUGGCUCUAUAAGUCAGAUGUGAAAUCCCCGGGCUCAACCUGGGAACUGCAUCUGAAACUGUAGAGCUAGAGUAUGUGAGAGGAAGGUAGAAUUCCAGGUGUAGCGGUGAAAUGCGUAGAGAUCUGGAGGAAUACCGAUGGCGAAGGCAGCCUUCUGGCAUAAUACUGACACUGAGGCUCGAAAGCGUGGGUAGCAAACAGGAUUAGAUACCCUGGUAGUCCACGCCGUAAACGAUGUCUACUAGUCGUUGGGUCCCUUGAGGACUUAGUGACGCAGCUAACGCAAUAAGUAGACCGCCUGGGGAGUACGGCCGCAAGGUUAAAACUCAAAUGAAUUGACGGGGGCCCGCACAAGCGGUGGAGCAUGUGGUUUAAUUCGAUGCAACGCGAAGAACCUUACCUGGUCUUGACAUAUCUAGAAUCCUGCAGAGAUGCGGGAGUGCCUUCGGGAAUUAGAAUACAGGUGCUGCAUGGCUGUCGUCAGCUCGUGUCGUGAGAUGUUGGGUUAAGUCCCGCAACGAGCGCAACCCUUGUCCUUAGUUACCAGCGGGUUAAGCCGGGAACUCUAAGGAUACUGCCAGUGACAAACUGGAGGAAGGCGGGGACGACGUCAAGUCAUCAUGGCCCUUACGACCAGGGCUACACACGUGCUACAAUGGUAGGUACAGAGGGCAGCUACACAGCGAUGUGAUGCGAAUCUCAAAAAGCCUAUCGUAGUCCAGAUUGGAGUCUGCAACUCGACUCCAUGAAGUAGGAAUCGCUAGUAAUCGCGGAUCAGAAUGCCGCGGUGAAUACGUUCCCGGGCCUUGUACACACCGCCCGUCACACCAUGGGAGUUGAUUGCACCAGAAGUGGAUAGCUUAACCUUCGGGGAGGCGUUCACCACGGUGUGGUUGAUGACUGGGGUGAAGUCGUAACAAGGUAGCCGUAGGGGAACCUGCGGCUG